rnacentral:rRNA from 1 species
CGCGGCCUAUCAGCUUGUUGGUGAGGUAACGGCUCACCAAGGCAUCGACGGGUAGCUGGUCUGAGAGGACGAUCAGCCACACUGGGACUGAGACACGGCCCAGACUCCUACGGGAGGCAGCAGUAGGGAAUCUUGCGCAAUGGGCGAAAGCCUGACGCAGCAACGCCGCGUGGGGGAUGAAUGCCUUCGGGUUGUAAACCCCUUUCAGCAGGGACGAAAAUGACGGUACCUGCAGAAGAAGCUCCGGCCAACUACGUGCCAGCAGCCGCGGUAAUACGUAGGGAGCGAGCGUUGUCCGGAAUUAUUGGGCGUAAAGAGCUCGUAGGCGGUUCAGUAAGUCGGGUGUGAAAACUCAAGGCUCAACCUUGAGACGCCACUCGAUACUGCUGUGACUUGAGUCCGGUAGAGGAGUGUGGAAUUCCUGGUGUAGCGGUGAAAUGCGCAGAUAUCAGGAGGGACACCAGCGGCGAAGGCGGCACUCUGGGCCGGUACUGACGCUGAGGAGCGAAAGCAUGGGGAGCAAACAGGAUUAGAUACCCUGGUAGUCCAUGCCGUAAACGUUGGGCACUAGGUAUGGGAUCAUAUCAACGGAUUCCGUGCCGUAGCUAACGCAUUAAGUGCCCCGCCUGGGGAGUACGG